rnacentral:rRNA from 1 species
UACGUAGGGGGCUAGCGUUGUCCGGAAUCAUUGGGCGUAAAGCGCGUGUAGGCGGCCCGGUAAGUCCGCUGUGAAAGUCGGGGGCUCAACCCUCGAAUGCCGGUGGAUACUGUCGGGCUAGAGUCCGGAAGGGGCGAGUGGAAUUCCUGGUGUAGCGGUGAAAUGCGCAGAUAUCAGGAGGAACACCAAUGGCGAAGGCAGCUCGCUGGGACGUGACUGACGCUGAGACGCGAAAGCGUGGGGAGCAAACAGG